GGCGGGAGGCGGCCCAAGAGGCUCUCCAAGCCCUCGGUGUCGGCCUUCUUCGCGGGCCCGGAGGAGCUGAAGGACGCGGCCCACUCUGCGGCGCUGCUGGCCCAGCUCAAGUCCUUCUACGACGCGCGGCUGCUGUGUGAUGUGACCAUCGAGGUGGUGACGCCCGGCAGCGGGCCUGGCACCGGCCGCCUCUUCUCGUGCAACCGCAACGUGCUGGCCGCCGCGUGCCCCUACUUCAAGAGCAUGUUCACGGGCGGCAUGUACGAGAGCCAGCAGGCCAGCGUGACCAUGCACGACGUGGACGCCGAGUCCUUCGAGGUGCUGGUCGACUACUGCUACACGGGCCGCGUGUCCCUGAGCGAGGCCAACGUGCAGCGCCUGUACGCGGCCUCCGACAUGCUGCAGCUGGAGUAUGUGCGGGAAGCCUGUGCCUCGUUCUUAGCCCGCCGCCUUGACCUGGCCAACUGCACCGCCAUCCUCAAGUUUGCCGACGCCUUUGACCAUCACAAGCUGCGGUCUCAGGCCCAGUCCUUUAUUGCGCACAACUUCAAGCCGAAUGGGCUCAGUUCGGAAGGAGACUCUAGAGGAUCUGACUCUGGUCCAGUGGCUGCGCCUGGAUAGUCUGGACGUAGAUAGGGAGUGGACUGUAUGCCACGUGGCUGUGUAGUGGCUGGAGGCUGCGCCCAAGAGCGGGGUCCCAGUGCUACGGAAGUCUUCAAGUGUGUGCGCUGGAUGCACUUCACGGAAAUAGAUCAAGACCUCUUGCAAGGGCUGCUGCUGACCAAGCCCAUUGUGAAGCAGUACUGCCUGGACAUCAUUGAAGGGGCCCUGCAGAUGCGCUAUGGCGACAUGCUGUACAAGUCUCUGGAGCCAAAGCCAAACAGCAGCACUAGCACCAGCAACUCCGUUGUAUCUGCAGCAGAAAACCCCAGAGACUGGGUAUGUGUGCCAAGGAGAUCGUAGUCAUCUUUGGACAUCCCAGGGAUCCCUUUCUCUGCUAUGAUCCAUACUCAGGGGAUAUUUACACAGUGCCAGUCGCCUUUGACCAGCUUGGCACACACUAAGACUAACCUCCCCGGCCGUUUGUGUCUCUGCCGACCAUGACGUCUAUCUAGCCGCCCAGCGCAGCAAAGACCUCUGGGUGUAUAAACCAGCCCAGGAUAGUUGACAGCAGCUUGCAGACCGCUUGCUGUGUCGUGAGGGCAUGAAUGCGGCAUACCUCAAUGGCUACAUUUAUAUUUUGGGUGGACGAGACCCUAUUACUGGAGUUAAAUUGAAAGAAGUGGAAUGCUACAGUGUUUAGAGAAACAGUGGUCUCCAGUAUCCCAUUCUUUUAUAUCCUUUGACCUAAUGGUAAUUUGAGACUACCUCUAUGUCUUCAGUAGUAAGCGCAUGUUUUGUUAUGAUCCUAGGUAUAAUAGGUGGCUGAAGUGUGUUUCUCUGAAGCAGAGCGACUUUCUGGAAGCAUGUGUCUUCAAUGAUGAGAUCUGCUGUAUCUGUGUCAUCCCAGUCAUGAAGGCCCACAAUCCAGUCAGGCCAGAGUGGAGGCAGAUUAAUAAUAUUCCUUUGGUGUCAGAGACCAGCAGCUACCAGAUUAUCCAGUAUAGCCAAAAAUUUUGUUGCCUACACCUCUCACACCACACAAUGGAAAAGAAAUGGAAUGAUCAUGUAUGAAUAUGAUAUUAGGGGAUAUCAGUGGAUUAAUAUGGGUGCCACAUUAGGCCUUUUGCAGUUUUGACUCUUAUUUUUUUGCCUCUCAUGUUUAUCCUUCCUGCCUUGAACCUGGUCAGUUUUCUCACUAAAGAAGAUUAUAUACCAAGUGAAUCUAGUACUGAAUGGGACAUUGGUGGAUUCAGUGAGCUAGACUCUUGAGUCAGUAGGUUCAAGUUCUUUUUCUGAUGAUUUUUGGCUGCGAGUAGCACAGUGAAAUGUACAGGACCAACAGGAUUUGUUGUGACAAAACUGAAACACUAAGUUGUUUUUACUGUUCUGGAAAAUAUCUUAAGUAUCCUUUCUGUUCUCAAAGCGGGGGGAAGUUGAUUAACUGCAGUUUUGGUUUAGAAAAGGUAAUGUUUGAUAUGCUGACGUCAUUUGAUUUUUAUAAAAUUUUAACAUUCAUGUCAAUCUUUUAAUAAUUUGCUGUGCUAAAAAUCUAGUAGUCUUCUGAUUACUUAAUGUUUAUGUUUCAUUACAUUAACCUAGUCUUAUAAAUUUUCUGUUUCCUGCCACAAGCACUGUAACUUUUGAAUUUUAAUUUUUGUAAUAGAAAAGUGAUUGGAUAGAAAUUGCUAGAUAAUGUUUUAGAGCAUAUAUUUUCGUUCAGAGCAAUGUAGUAGAUCUUCAAAACGUUAAACUGGAAUUUUACAAAAUAUGUUCUAAUUUAAAACUGGUUUACUGAGUUUAGUGUUCUUCUGAGAAGAAAAAAGUGAAUGUAUAUAUUAAAGUGACUGGUGAUUUCAUUUAUAAUAAUAUACAGAAUGGCUAUAAGCUUACUGAUGCAAAAAAAAACAAACA